GUUGCCUGCUUAUGUCUCGUGUUUGAAAGAUACAACAGAGCAAGCGAUAACUGGAAGGCUUUAAAAGAACUAGAGAAGGCAGCAAAAGUCUUUAGGAGUGCCAAAGACCAUUUACCUCCUCGGACAGUUAAGAUAGAUAUGAACAUCGAGAAGGAUUUAGCUUACGCGUUGCAAGUCAGGGAGUCCCCGCAGAUUUUGUUUUUGCGAGGAAAUAGAAUCUUAUAUAGGGAAAAGGAGAUUCGAUCUGGAGAUGAGUUGGUCCAAAUGAUAGCACACUUUUACUACAAAGCCAAAAAACCUUCAUGUAUGAAAGAAAGGUGAAGCUUUUUACCUUGAACUUAAUUGUUCAUGACUUUAAGCAAACUAUUUGAAAUGACAAAUCUAUCUUUUGUUUUUAUA